rnacentral:misc_RNA from 1 species
CCUUGUGGAGGAGGACGCCGAAGGUGGGGCUAAUGACUGGGGUGAAGUCGUAACAAGGUAGCCGUACCGGAAGGUGCGGCUGGAUCACCUCCUAACAGGGAGACAACAAAAUGUUUAAUAUUAUUAUUUUGUCACCUUAGGUCGAUCGGUAUCUCACGUUCUUAAUUCAUUAAGAAUUUCAUUUCCUAAGUUUUUCUAGGUCACACCCAUUAUUUUUCCUGGGCCAUUAGCUCAGGUGGUUAGAGCGCACCCCUGAUAAGGGUGAGGUCCCUGGUUCAAGUCCAGGAUGGCCCAUAUCUCUAUGUUGGGGGUAUAGCUCAGUUGGUAGAGCGCCUGCUUUGCAAGCAGGAUGUCAGCGGUUCGAGUCCGCUUACCUCCACUGAUUACCACCUCUUCCAUAACCGGUAGAAAGGAAAUGUUUUGAGUUGUGAUCACUAUUCUGAACGAAUCUAGCUUCCUAAUGAAAUCAUUAAGAUGCUGGACUCAUUGAAUUAAUUUCAUUGUUUUCAGAGAACCUUGACAACUGCAUAGAUUAUUUUUAAAGACAAUAAGCAUCUUUAAUGAUGCAGAUUUAUUAUUUGUGCGAAUGCAUUAAUAACAAUUCUAUUAAGCUGAUGCUUCAAUUUUUGAAGUUAUUGGUCAAGCUACAAAGGGCUCACGGAGGAUACCUAGGCACACAGAGGCGA